AGAGUUUGAUCCUGGCUCAGGAUAAACGCUGGCGGUGUACAUAAGACAUGCAAGUCGAACGGGAGAAGACAGGAAGAUUUAUCUACUUGUUGGACACCGUGGCGGACGGGUGAGUAACACGUAAGCAACCUGCCUAUAAGAGGGGAAUAACAGUGAGAAAUUACUGAUAAUACCGCAUAAGCUGGAGGUAUCGCAUGAUACAUUCAGAAAAGAUUUAUCGCUUAUAGAUGGGCUUGCGUCUGAUUAGCUAGUUGGUGAGAUAACAGCUCACCAAGGCGACGAUCAGUAGCCGGAUUGAGAGGUUGAACGGCCACAUUGGGACUGAGACACGGCCCAGACUCCUACGGGAGGCAGCAGUCGGGAAUAUUGCACAAUGGAGGAAACUCUGAUGCAGUGACACCGCGUAUAGGAAGAAGGUCUUAGGAUUGUAAGCUAUUGUCGUGUGAGAAGAAAAUGACCAUCACAGGAGGAAGCCCUGGCUAAAUAUGUGCCAGCAGCCGCGGUAAUACAUAUGGGGCGAGCGUUAUCCGGAUUUAUUGGGUGUAAAGGGUGCGUAGGCGGGAAAAUAAGUCAGUAUGUGAAAUCCCUCGGCUCAACUGAGGAACUGCAACUGAAACUAUUUUUCUUGAGUGUUGAAGGGGAAAGUGGAAUUCCUAGUGUAGCGGUGAAAUGCGUAGAGAUUAGGAGGAACACCAGUGGCGAAGGCGACUUUCUGGGCAACAACUGACGCUGAGGCACGAAAGUGUGGGGAGCAAACAGGAUUAGAUACCCUGGUAGUCCACACCGUAAACGAUGGAUACUAGGAGUUGGCAAAAAUAUUGUCGGUUCCGCAGUUAACGCAUUAAGUAUCCCACCUGGGGAGUACGACCGCAAGGUUAAAACUCAAAGGAAUUGACGGGGGCCCGCACAAGCAGUGGAGUAUGUGGUUUAAUUCGAAGCAACGCGAAGAACCUUACCAGGGCUUGACAUAUACAGGAAUAUAUAAGAGAUUAUAUAGCUCUACGGAGUCUGUAUACAGGUGGUGCAUGGUUGUCGUCAGCUCGUGUCGUGAGAUGUUGGGUUAAGUC
rnacentral:rRNA from 1 species